rnacentral:ncRNA from 1 species
UGACCUCAGAUCAGGCAAGGCUACCCGCUGAAUUUAAGCAUAUUAAUAAGCGGAGGAAAAGAAACUAACAAGGAUUCCCCUAGUAAUGGCGAAUGAAGCGCGAACAGCUCAAAUUUAAAAUCUCCGUUGCUUGCAACGGCGAAUUGUAGUUUCGAGAAGCACUUUCUCGGCGGAUCCGAGGUCGUCCAAGUUGCUUGGAACAGCACGUCGUAGAGGGUGACAACCCCGUCUGCGGCGACCUCGGCCGUUCACGAUGUGCUUUCGACGAGUCGGGUUGUUUGGGAAUGCAGCCCAAAAUGGGUGGUAAACUCCAUCUAAAGCUAAAUAUUGGCACGAGACCGAUAGCGAACAAGUACCGUGAGGGAAAGAUGAAAAGCACUUUGAAAAGAGAGUUAAAAAGUACGUAAAACCGUUAAAAGGGAAACGAAUGGGGUUAGCAAUGCGUCGUGCGAGAUUCAGCCGGUGGGUGGGCCAGGCGGGCGGUUGGCGGAUCUGAAUGGACCGCUGCCGUUCGGGUUGGUUUCCCGACCGUCGCACUUCUCGCAGGCGCGCGCCAACGUCGGUUAG